rnacentral:rRNA from 1 species
UACGAAGGGGGCUAGCGUUGUCCGGAUUUACUGGGCGUAAAGCGCACGUAGGCGGCUCGUUAAGUCGGGGGUGAAAUCCUGGAGCUCAACUCCAGAACUGCCUUCGAUACUGGCGAUCUUGAGUCCGGAAGAGGUGAGUGGAACUCCUAGUGUAGAGGUGGAAUUCGUAGAUAUUAGGAAGAACACCAGUGGCGAAGGCGGCUCACGGGUCCGGUACUGACGCUGAGGUGCGAAAGCGUGGGGAGCAAACAGG